rnacentral:misc_RNA from 1 species
AACGCACCUUGCGCUCUCUGGUAUUCCGGAGAGCAUGCCUGUUUGAGAAUCGUAAAGCAAACCCAUCACAGUUAAUUUUUUGACUGUGGAGAUGGGCCGAAAUUCCCUUUUUCUUGAGAGAAGAAGGGAUGGCCUGAAAUUCAGAAGGCCGAGUCUGGGUAAAACCAGAACUCCUCAGGACAGAAAUUUUUCGCCCAAAGCAAAUAAUAGUUAAUACGUUUCUGACGUGUUAUCCCCCAUUUUGCCUUGGGUUUCUGGCCUAGAGAAUUUGGCCUGACACUUUGACCCUUGGGCGCGGUUUCGGCCGUGGAAAAGGGUUAGAGGAAUCAGAGUAUUUUGAUGGGCCGAGCUUCUACAGCCGGACGGCCCUGAACUCUUAGAUCUCAAAUCAGGCAAGAAUACCCGCUGAACUUAA